CUUCAUGGCGGAUCGCGUGGGGAGACCCUCGUGGUCUGCCGGUUCCGUUUCCCGGUCUGUCAACCCUGCGCGAUCCUGCCUCCAUC
rnacentral:antisense_RNA from 2 species